UACGUAGGGGGCAAGCGUUGUCCGGAAUCAUUGGGCGUAAAGAGCGUGUAGGCGGCUUGGUAAGUCCGCUGUGAAAGUCCAGGGCUCAACCCUGGAAUGCCGGUGGAAACUGUCAAGCUUGAGUCCGGAAGAGGCGAGUGGAAUCCUGGUGUAGCGGUGAAAUGCGCAGAUAUCAGGAGGAACACCAAUGGCGAAGGCAGCUCGCUGGGACGGUACUGACGCUGAGGCGCGAAAGCGUGGGGAGCAAACAGG
rnacentral:rRNA from 1 species